UACGAAGGGGGCUAGCGUUGUUCGGAAUCACUGGGCGUAAAGGGCGCGUAGGCGGCUUUAUAAGUCGGGGGUGAAAGCCUGUGGCUCAACCACAGAAUUGCCUUCGAUACUGUAGAGCUUGAGACCGGAAGAGGUAAGUGGAACUGCGAGUGUAGAGGUGAAAUUCGUAGAUAUUCGCAAGAACACCAGUGGCGAAGGCGGACUUACUGGUCCGGUUCUGACGCUGAGGCGCGAAAGCGUGGGGAG
rnacentral:rRNA from 1 species